rnacentral:lncRNA from 1 species
UUGUAAUUGAGGCACAAAAACAAAAAAAUUUUUCAAAUCUCUACCAAAUGUUAUCAGCAAAUGCAGUAAACUAUGGGGAGAUGUAUUUCCCAAAUUAUCUUUGUUGUAACUUUCAUCUAUGUAAUAAAUUGUAAACUCAAGCCUGUGUAGGUCCACACCAGUGAUUGCCAUCAUAACAAAGUUUGGUUAGAUCAUUUUCGAUGAAUAACCCACACAGUGGGCACAGAGCCACAAAGUAAAAGGCCUCGAUAGCCUUGAUGUACGCGUUGUCCUAUUGCAGAAAAUAAUGAAGUAGAUAAACUCACUAAUGGUGCCUACAGUGAAAACACAAGUUGAUUAGAUGUUUCCCUGCUUAUCUGGGAUUUAUCCCAGCUUGCCUGAACUACCUACAGCUUUGGAAAUUCUGAAAUGAAUUAUUGGGUGCAAAAUUCAAAUAGAUUUCCAAGCCAUUAGCUGGAAAUUUUACAGUGGGAAACUUUCUCAUCAAAUUAGCUUGACUAAUGCAAAAAUAAUGUAUUAAAUGAACAAAUCAGAGCAAUCUGCUGGGCUGAGCUGCCUUAACUACAGUAUAAGUGGCAGAGUUAAAACCUUCAAGCCUUUUACGGCUGUCUCAGUUUAAAAUAACCUUGCAAUAUCUUCCAAAGCUCUGACUAUCAGCUUUUAUCAGCCUCUACACUGGUGAGCUAAAUGUGGCAAGAGACAUCCACUUUGCGUGUUGACGCAGAACGCAAUCUGAAAAUACUUGGACUUGCCUAACAAAAUUUUGACAAAUGUUCAAGGCUUUGCUAAAGUCCAAUCAAAGCUUUGGGCACAUUUUUUUUUUUAAAGGUAUCUAAAUUGUGGGGGGUGGGGCAUGAAAAUAUGGCCAUUUAGUCUGGCAAAGCAGCAAAAUUGGGUUUGCAUGAGAAGUGAAACUAAAGCUUGCUGGAAAUGCUGGUGGGUGAAAUAUGCUGACUUCUGCUACUUUCGAAUGAAGAAUGUGUAUUUGCCUGAGUUACAUUUUUAUCAUGUAAGAUUCCUCAGGUUUAUGAGUUACAGAAGAGUAAGGAAUCUUGGGCAUUCGGAAAAAUGGAAAUCUCAGGAGUGGAUAAGUGUGUCAGAUCCUUUCUGCAGCUAG